rnacentral:lncRNA from 1 species
GCACAUAUGAGAUGAGAGAAAAUGAAACCUUAUCAAAAAUUCUAGUGUAUUAAAUGUGACUUUUAUCACAGUGAACCCCGGCACACCAAAUCUGACCGGAAAGCAUGAUAGUAACGGCAACUCGGACUGCGAACGGCUUCUCCAAAACUUUGGAAACUCACCUCGAUUUUAUUCCAUUUCAGACGAGAAUAAAGCGGAGACAGAAUUAUACAUUCUUUGUUUUUCUAUUAUUUUCGAUUUUUGGUGUGAACAAAACCAACGAACUCUUUUCCACUGAUUUAUCCUACUAAGAGUGUGUGCGUGUUUUCAUGGGAGAUAAUGGGACUAGGAUUGUGAAGAAGAAGUAGCAACUAGUUUUGGCAGCAGUGAUAGUCGACGAGGUUAAGGUUCUUUUGGUUAGAGGAGAAGAGACGAGCGGGAAGGCGGCGGCGGCACUGGCUAAAAAUGGUGCAGUCGACACUGACGAUUGAAGAAGAAGAAGCUGGUGGGGCUGAAGGUGACGGUCGCUGCUGCUAGAUUUUGUAGUGGGAGAUCGUUAGGCUGAAGCCUAAUCUAUAAAAGAGAGGGAGUGGUUGUAUGGCGUGUGGCUGAAGUGAGUGGUUGUAUGGCGUCUAGUCAGGCGGGGGUGGCGGCGGCGUCUCAAAAGGUGAUUAGGGUUCAGCAUUUGUUGUUUUCUUGUGGAACAUGAAGGGCAGCCAUGGGUGUUUUUCUUCAAGUUCUCUUCUAGGUUUUUCUUGGUUAUCUCUUGGUCUUCAAAAAGAAGUCUUUAUUGGGGUUGU